UGAGCUGGGAGGUGAGCACUCCACACACACCAUGACAUCACCUGGCUUGUGAGUUCUGUUUUCAGGAGAGAGAGCAGCAGCUGCAAUCAAUCAGCUGAUCAGUGGGUGGCCUUCAUAAGGAGGACGGAGGACACUGCUAAGCCGCCGGAUGAUUACGCCUACUGGUAGAGUCCCAGCCACAGUGUUAACUCGAUUUUGAAACCUUGACUUUGAACUGUCGGAACUUAGACUUUGAACUUUGAAACCUUAGCCUUGAACUUUAGAAACGUGUUUUUUGCUAGCGAUCUUUUGCUCAGAUUUUGUUCUCGUUUUGUCUCAGGCUCAGUCAUCUUUCCAUACACCACCUCCUCGCUGAGACCUUUUGGAUUUACUACUCGACCAUACUACGUCUGGACUUCACUCCCGGUUCCCGUCCUCCUCACGGCACUAACUGCUCCCAGCACUACAGGCUCUCUCUCUCCUUCCCUCCGGUUGUAAAACCUUGCCGAUCUUCAUCACCCCGGAAUACUCAUUCACUCUCCCAGCUCACCCCUCCCUGGAGAUCCUCCACCACGCUACAGCUACGCUGCUCCCGUUUACCCAUUCACUGGAUUUCCAGUGCACCCUAAGUUCUAGUUACCAAAUAAAUCUUUAUUUUUUCA